rnacentral:rRNA from 1 species
GACGAACGCUGGCGGCGUGCUUAACACAUGCAAGUCGAACGGAAAGGCCCUGCUUUUGUGGGGUGCUCGAGUGGCGAACGGGUGAGUAACACGUGAGUAACCUGCCCUUGACUUUGGGAUAACUUCAGGAAACUGGGGCUAAUACCGGAUAGGAGCUCCUGCUGCAUGGUGGGGGUUGGAAAGUUUCGGCGGUUGGGGAUGGACUCGCGGCUUAUCAGCUUGUUGGUGGGGUAGUGGCUUACCAAGGCUUUGACGGGUAGCCGGCCUGAGAGGGUGACCGGCCCCAUUGGGACUGGGAUACGGCCCAGACUCCUACGGGGGGCAACAGUGGGGAAUAUUGCACAAUGGGCGGAAGCCUGAUGCAGCAACGCCGCGUGCGGGAUGACGGCCUUCGGGUUGUAAACCGCUUUCGCCUGUGACGAAGCGUGAGUGACGGUAAUGGUAAAGAAGCACCGGCUAACUACGUG